rnacentral:rRNA from 1 species
UACGUAGGGUGCAAGCGUUGUCCGGAAUUAUUGGGCGUAAAGAGCUCGUAGGCGGUCUGUCACGUCGGCUGUGAAAUCCCGAGGCUCAACCUCGGGUCUGCAGUCGAUACGGGCAAACUAGAGUAUUGCAGGGGAGACUGGAAUUCCUGGUGUAGCGGUGAAAUGCGCAGAUAUCAGGAGGAACACCCGUGGCGAAGGCGGGCUCUCGUCGG